GUUUCUUUCAUUGCUCUUCCUUGUUCUCCAGGUGGACGCCUGAUUGCUAAUACUUCCAUUACUCAUCCUUGUUCUCCAGGUGCACGCCUGACUUCUAAUACUUCCGUUGCUCUUCUUUGUUCUCCAGGUGGACGCCUGAUUGCUGGGGAUAAUACCACUGGGGGAGUCUCCUUUCUUUCCCUCCUUCAAAUUCAAUUUUUUUUUGUUGUUUUUUUUCUUAACACUGCUGGGGAUAAAAGUGUUAUCUUCUUGAGAUAACUUUGUUGAGGAUAACGUUGCUGGGGAAUUUUAUCCCUUCGAAUCGAUGCUUCAUUCUUCUGGAAGCUGCUGGGGAGGAUAAUGGCUCUUUGCUUUUCUGAGCACAAAUGUCAUCUCUUUGUUCUGUCUGUUGGGGAUCAACUUCCUCCAUUGGAAGCUUAUUAUGUUGGGGGAAACCCUGGUUCAAAGACCACUUCCUUG
rnacentral:lncRNA from 1 species